rnacentral:ncRNA from 1 species
CGUAUUAUGCUGCUGCCAGCCCGCAUCCCGUCUGGUUUGAUGCGCGCGGCCUGUGUCUUAAACACGGCGCAAAACUCCUUACCGGAUUUU